rnacentral:misc_RNA from 1 species
GAGAUUCACAAUAGUAAAAAAGAAAGGAGGCCAGAGGAGCAGAGAUAGCUCGGCUCUUGACCUUGGUAGGUAGAUCGUAGAUUCUUGCUCGCUUGCUCGCUCUCUGCUCUCUCUUCUUCUUCUUCUUCUUCUUCUUCUUCUUCUUCACAACCUGUCUCUCUGCUUUCUUCACACCUCCUUGUCGUUUCCACAAAUUCCCACAAAUUUCAGAAUUCCCAACUUAAAAAAGAAACCAAGAAGCCGACACGCCUCCUCUUUCUUUCCUUAUCCUCCUUUUACUCUCUGUCUGGAUCUGCCACUUCUGAGCCUGUUUCGUCGUCCCUUCGAUGCGUUUCUUUGUAAAACUCGUGACUUUUGGUGAGCGCUUGAGGGAAAGUAACACUUUUGAUGAGCGCUUGAGGGAUAGUAAUACUUUUGACUGACGCAUAAUUCAGCAGUUCCUCCUUAUCAUGUCUGAUCGGGUUGUAAAAUCAGAAAAUGACAAGGACAAAAUUCCUGAAAAGUGCUUGCAGCCCC